rnacentral:rRNA from 1 species
UACGUAGGGGGCGAGCGUUGUCCGGAGUUACUGGGCGUAAAGGGUGCGCAGGCGGCCAGGCAAGUUUGCGGUGAAAGCCCCCAGCUCACCUGGGGGAGGUUCGUGAAGACUGUUUGGCUGGAGGGCCAGAGAGGGACGUGGAAUUCCGGGUGGAGCGGUGAAAUGCGUAGAGAUCCGGAAGAACACCGAAGGCGGAGGCAGCGUCCUGGCUGGUACCUGACGCUCAGGCACGAAAGCGCGGGGAG